rnacentral:rRNA from 1 species
GACAGAGGGUGCAAACGUUGUUCGGAAUUACUGGGCGUAAAGCGUGCGUAGGUGGUUCGUUAAGUCUGUCGUGAAAGCCCCGGGCUCAACCUGGGAAUGGCGAUGGAUACUGGCGGGCUAGAGUGCGGUAGAGGAGAGUGGAAUUCCCGGUGUAGCAGUGAAAUGCGUAGAGAUCGGGAGGAACAUCAGUUGCGAAGGCGGCUCUCUGGACCAGCACUGACACUGAGGCACGAAAGCGUGGGGAGCAAACAGG